AAAAGAUUUCCAGUCCAGAUGCCUACUGCGUCUGUCCUCUUUUUUAUACGCCCAGCUCCUCUUCCAUUGGAAAAAGGCUGAUAUGUUCAUUAGGCAGAUUUUAAGCGGCUGAUGCCUUUUAGCUCCCCCAGGUCAGGUGUCCCACUUCCCAAAUUAUGGUAACAGCGAUGGUUGACACUUAAGAAUAGGGUCUUUUGAAAAAGAGGCAUUCAAAUGAGGGAGAACACAAACUUUAGUAAAAGUCCAGAUUUUGUCACAAGUUUUGUGAUUCAGAGACUUAGACUUCUGAUCACAAUCAGAACUCUAUUGAUUUGACUCUUUUUUUUCACUUGAUGCUUGGUUGUGUUCUAGAUAAAUGCUCUCUGGAUAAAUGAGCUAUUAUGGUGGUUAUUUAGUGGCUUUUUUCCUGAUAUUUUUCAUGUACUUAAUGAACAUUGUUGUGCAAAUACUUAAAAUUCCUUGAUCUUAGUGUGUACCUACGGUUUUCAUUUUUCUUCUACAAGUAGGACACUGAGUCAUCUAAAAAGUUAGGUUAAUUCCUUAACCUAAAGCCAUUUGAACUGUUGAAGGGAUCAUGAAUAACUCUCAUUUCUUUCUCUUUCAGGUACUUGUCUACAUAAAUUGAUUACUGACAUACCCAUAUAUUGAUUUCUUUUAAAGUAUUUUUUGAAGUAGAGAAAAGGAGCAAGUAGGUAGCACCGAGGGCAAAAUGACAGGCUUUGACUGGGGAGGACCUGGAUUCAAAUGUGACUCAGAUACUUCCUAGCCGUGUGACCCUGGACAAGUCAUUUAACCCAGAUUGCCUAGCCCUUGCCACUAUUCUGUCUUAGAACUGAUACUAAGACAGAAGAGGCAACAAGGAGUCAUUGCAUCUUCCUAAGCAGCUACAAUUUAAAUAUCUGUCACCAGGUAAAAAGUGGUCACUGAGAUAUGGCUAGGAGGUUCAAAAAGGUAGGUUUCCUAUAGCAUGUCGGCCAAUUUUUUUCUAUUAAAAUAUCUAUUAAAAUAAAAGAAAUAUUAUUAAUCACUAAUAUCAUGUUUUGAUAUAAAAU